UUGGUACUGACUAGGUGAUAAAUGAAAUCUGUUGGAUAGACAUAUAAAUCAGCCAGACCUCGGGGAUUGAACGUGUUGGCCAACUUAAGAAGCCAACGGAAAAAAGGAUGCUGGGACAUGAUAGAGAAUAGAGAUCAGGCAAAAUUUUACAGACAAGUUUAAUAUGGAUUUGCUUAUGGAAAUUUCAUACGCAGAGGUGAUAGAACAUCCGUGGU